GCGGACGUGGCGAAACUGGCAGACGCAGCAGACUUAAAAUCUGCUUUCCGCAAGGAAGUGUGGGUUCGAUUCCCGCCGUCCGCACCA
rnacentral:tRNA from 1 species